CCUUUGGAGUGUACAAGAACUUGUGAGUAGUCUCAGGCUUGCCCUGGGCAAAAGCAUACACGAUGAAUAAGGAA
rnacentral:ncRNA from 2 species